CGUAAGGGCGUGGGGCGAGUUGUUCGGGGUUAGUAUGUGCGUACUUUCAUUGUGAUAGGAGAAUAAUUUUUCAGGGUGUGGGCUGUGGACCUUUCCCGUAGUGAGGGACGAGGAAUAUACGGUCAUUGCUGUGUCGAAGGCUUCAGUCUAAGAGGGGACCUUGUUCUGCGUGAACAGAACGAUGGAAGACGGCGCCUACGAGGCCCAGAUGGAGGCGGGUGCCGAUUGGGGCGGCUUUAGUGGGCCUACCGGCGCGCCGUACGGCCCUGUCCCCGGGUUCCCGCCGUGGCAGAGUUUCGGCGGCGCCUGGUCCGGC